AAACCUAGAUUAUAUAGGGAACCUCAGCCUUCCUAUAUAAUCACAUGUGUACAAAAGUGGGCUUUUAUUCAAGGUCAGGUCCUGGGGAGUGGGCCCAUCAGUGGCUGAAGAGACUGAUCUUCCACACGCAUUCAGGAAAGCAUCACUGACUUUGUGAAAGAACUCUCUUUGUUCCCUCCACGGAACAGCACUGACGCAGCAGGUGAAGAAUUUUACAACCAUCAUGUCUCACAGCAGAACUCUGUUACUGGGUAUUAAGCAUACUUGGCUCAAUAACCAGAUUCAGACUAGCAGCAGGAAGGUGGAUUUGGAGACAGGUACAGUCUGGUGACUGAGGACCAAACCUCCAUGCCUCUCUGAUGAGGAUGGGCUCUGCCCAUUGCGGGAAGACCUGCCACCAGGACCAGAAAGGAAC
ensembl:lncRNA